rnacentral:rRNA from 1 species
GUCCACGCUGUAAACGAUGGGUGCUAGACGUCGGGGGGCUUGCCUUUCGGUGUCGCAGCUAACGCGUUAAGCACCCCGCCUGGGGAGUACGGCCGCAAGGUUAAAACUCAAAGGAAUUGACGGGGGCCCGCACAAGCGGUGGAGCAUGUGGUUUAAUUCGACGCAACGCGCAGAACCUUACCAGCCCUUGACAUGGGCAGUUUGGGCCUGGGAGACUGGGCUCUUCAGUUCGGCUGGCUGCCACACAGGUGCUGCAUGGCUGUCGU